GGCGCCCUGGAGCAGGGGGCGGCGCUCUUCGGGGAGACUCGGCUGCACAGGAGCCCACGGAGGGCGGGGGAGGCUCAGGCAUGGCAGGCUGCAGGUCCCGAGCCCAGCCCCGCAGGAGGGCAGCUAAGGCACGGCGAGAAAUUGAGCACAGCAGCUGCUGGCCCAGGUGCUAAGCCCCUCAUUGCCCGGGGCCGGUGGGGCUGGCCGGCCACUACGAGUGCGGGGUCCGCCGAGCCCACGCCCACCCGGAACUCGCGCUUGCCCACAAGAACCGCGCGCAGCCCUUGUUCCCGGCCGCGCCUCUCCCUCCACACCUCCCCGCAAGCUGAGGGAGCCGGCUCCGGCCUUGGCCAGCCCAGAAAGGGGCUCCUACAGUGCAGCGGCGGGCUGAAGGGCUCCUUAAGUGCCGCCAAAGUGGGAGCCCACCCAGGUAGAGGAGGCCCGGAGAGCGAGCGAGGGCUUUGAGGACUGCCAGCACGCUGUCAUCUCUCAGUGUCUUAACUGACACUAGAAGAAAUAUUAAAAUAAGUUACUGGAGUGGAAGAAUAUGAUAAUACACAGGAACUUGGAUCCACAAAAGGAAAGUUCUUCAGAAACAGCUAAAAAGAAAGAUCUACAAAAACAGUAAGCCAGUUAUUCUUCCAGAAAGCUUCUUCAAGUAGCCAAAGGAACCCUCAUUUUGCAGAGAUCUCUGAAGUCAUCUAAGGUUUAAAUGAUUUACUGGUAGAAAUCAUUUUGUUAAACAAUUUCAGGUCACUUAUGACCACCCCUGUAAGGGGCAAUUACUGUGUCUUUAGGAUGGAGGGAAGAUAUCAUCUGACUUUUAUGCAAGUACGAUCUCAAGGGUAGACACGGUGCCCAUAGAAAAUAAAAUGUUAUUGUUUCUCCCUACAGAUCCAUGUGGGUGUUGGGCAGGUGGUGGGAGGGGGAGCACCAAGAAGAAUAGCUAAUGGAUGCUGGGCUUAAUAUUAUACCUAGGUGAUGGGAUGAUCUGUGCAGCAAACCACCGUGGCACACAUUUACCUCUGUAACAAACCUGCACAUCCUGCACAUGUACACCUGAAAUUAAAAUAAAAGUUGAAGAAGAAAAGUGUUAUUUAAAAGUGUUGUGACCCACCAAGUGGGAUUUUUAUUGGUCAAGAGCACAGGUUGAUGCCUCUAACAUAGUA